rnacentral:misc_RNA from 1 species
AUUGAUUGUUUUUGAUGAUGUAGAUGAUGCAGAUCAGUUAAAAAAUUUAGUAGGAGAGCAUGAUUUAUACGGUGUGGGAAGUAGAAUCGUUGUAACUAGCAGAGAUCAGCAAGUACUUGAAAAUUUUUGUCUAAAGGAAUGCAUAUAUGAGGUUAAGAAAUUAACUUAUCCUGAAGAUUUGGAACUCUUUAGCUUGCAUGCCUUCA